ACAGGAGAUCUGCGAUAAGUGUGACAGGAGACAUGGGUAAUGUGACAGGAGACCUGAGGUAAAAGCGACAUCAGACCUGGGGUGAAUGUGACAGGAGACCUGGGGUGAAUGUGACAGGAGACCUGCGGUAAGUAUGAGAGGAACCUUGGGUAAGUGUGAAGGAACCCUGAGGAGACCUGAAAUAAAUUUGAGAGGACACCUGGGGUAAAUAUGACAGGAAAUCUGGGGUAAAGGUGACAGGAGACCUGGGUGAGUGGACAGGAGACCUAGGUAUCUGUGACAGGAACCUGGGGUAAGUGUGACAGGAGAUCUGAGGUAAAUGCGACAGGAACCUGGGGAGAAUGUGACAGAAGAUCUGGGAUAAGUCAGCCGCUAAGGAGGC